GGCAUACUCCCUUGUCCCAAAAUUCUUGUCUUAAAUUUGUCUAGAUACGAAUGUAUCUAAUACUAAAAUGUGACUUGAUACAUCCGUAUUUAGACAAAUCUAAGACAAGAAUUUUAGGACGGAGGGAGUACCAU
rfam:Triticum aestivum genome assembly, contig: Triticum_aestivum_CS42_TGACv1_scaffold_344115_4DL